rnacentral:snRNA from 1 species
AUGCUUGACUCCUUGUACGC